rnacentral:rRNA from 1 species
CCUGCGGAGGGAUCAUUGCUGGAACGCGCUUCGGCGCACCCAGAAACCCUUUGUGAACUUAUACCUAUCUGUUGCCUCGGCGUAGGCCGGCCUCUUCACUGAGGCCCCCUGGAAACAGGGAGCAGCCCGCCGGCGGCCAACUAAACUCUUGUUUCUAUAGUGAAUCUCUGAGUAAAAACAUAAAUGAAUCAAAACUUUCAACAACGGAUCUCUUGGUUCUGGCAUCGAUGAAGAACGCAGCGAAAUGCGAUAAGUAAUGUGAAUUGCAGAAUUCAGUGAAUCAUCGAAUCUUUGAACGCACAUUGCGCCCUCUGGUAUUCCGGAGGGCAUGCCUGUUCGAGCGUCAUUUCAACCCUCAAGCCUGGCUUGGUGAUGGGGCACUGCCUUCUAGCGAGGGCAGGCCCUGAAAUCUAGUGGCGAGCUCGCUAGGACCCCGAGCGUAGUAGUUAUAUCUCGUUCUGGAAGGCCCUGGCGGUGCCCUGCCGUUAAACCCCCAACUUCUGAAAAUUUGACCUCGGAUCAGGUAGGAAUACCCGCUGAACUUAAGCAUAUCAAUAAGCCGGAGGA